GUCCCAAAAGCAAUGAGGUAAUUUCCAAGCACAUAUCUGAUGAUUCCGUGUGGAAUUCAACUACCUGAGUUUCCUGAAC